rnacentral:lncRNA from 1 species
GCCGGCCCAGCGCUCCGCCGGGCAAUGUAAGUCGUUUUUGUCGCACCCUGUCGAUUGUAAUUCGUUUAGGUGUAAGCCUUUUGUUCCUUCAUUGCCUCCUCCUCCUCCUCCCUCACCACCAUUGCCAUCGCCGCCGCCACCGCCGUCGCCAGUUUACAUUCCUCAUUCCCCUCCACCGCCACCACCGCCGGUGUAUUCACCGCCUCCUCCACCGCCACCACCGCCGGUGUAUUCACCGCCUCCUCCACCACCAGUGUAUUCUCCGCCGCCACCACCACCAGUGUAUUCUCCGCCGCCACCACCUCCAGUGUAUUCUCCGCCGCCACCACCACCUCCAGUGUAUUCACCUCCACCUCCGCCACCA